rnacentral:misc_RNA from 1 species
GGAUGAAGAACGUAGUGAAAUGCGAUACGUAAUGUGAAUUGCAGAAUUCAGUGAAUCAUCGAAUCUUUGAACGCAUAUUGCGCUCUCUGGUAUUCCGGAGAGCAUGCUUGUUUGAGUAUCAGUAAACACCUCAACUUCCAUAUCUUUUUUGAAAUGGGAGUUGGACUUGAGUGAUCCCAACGCUUUUCCUCACCGAAAAGUGGCGGGUUACUUGAAAUGCAGGUGCAGCUGGACUUUUCUCUGAGCUAUAAGCAUAUCUAUUUAGUCUGCCUAAAAAACAGAUUAUUACCUUUGCUGCAGCUAACAUAAAGGAGAUUAGUUCUUGUGCUGACUGAUGCAGGAUUCACAAAGACAGGCUUCGGCCGACUUUGUAAACUCGAUCUCAAAUCAAGUAAGACUACCCGCUGAACUUAAGCAUAUCAAUAAGCGGAGGA